rnacentral:rRNA from 1 species
UAUCCAGACUCCUACGGGAGGCAGCAGUGGGGAAUAUUGCACAAUGGGGGAAACCCUGAUGCAGCAACGCCGCGUGAGUGAAGAAGUCAUUCGUGAUGUAAAGCUCUAUCAGCAGGGAAGAAAAUGACGGUACCUGAGUAAGAAGCCCCGGCUAACUACGUGCCAGCAGCCGCGGUAAUACGUAGGGGGCAAGCGUUAUCCGGAUUUACUGGGUGUAAAGGGAGCGUAGACGGCUGUACAAGUCUGAAGUGAAAGCCCGUGGCUCAACCGCGGAACUGCUUUGGAAACUGUAAAGCUGGAGUGCUGGAGAGGCAGGCGGAAUUCCUGGUGUAGCGGUGAAAUGCGUAGAUAUUAGGAGGAACACCAGUGGCGAAGGCGGCCUGCUGGACAGAAACUGACGUUGAGGCUCGAAAGCGUGGGGAGCAAACAGGAUUAGAUACCCCAGUACA